ensembl:lncRNA
GGGAAAGUCUAAUCACGUAUUAUGAAACUCCAUAAAGCUUUUUGUAAUGCUUGUCAGAGAGACGCAAAAUAAAAAUUAAUGCUAAGCUUAGCAAUACAAAACUGGAUUGGUGAUACAAAACAGGAUCACCCCGUUCUUCAUUGUUUUCCUUUGACUGCUGCUGAAGCAAAUUCUACCUGGCAGCAGAGUCCUUUUGUGGAAAACACAGCUAACCCCACUGACAAAACGGGAAGAGAGCCUGCCUCAGAAUAACCUGUUGACAUAUGGAGAAUGAUGGAAACAAAUGCUGCCUGGAUGUAAGCAGAAGGAACAUCUGAAAUGAAUCAUUUGAAAGCUGAGCACACGUUGGAUGAUACAGGCAGCAUGUGACACAAAAACUCUGUGAUGAAUGGAAUUAACUCUCAUUUUGAGAAGUGAAGUAUCUGCUUCAGCCCUGAUCCUUUCUGACAUCUUGAAAUGUCGAACUGAUAUCCAGUGGACUCUUGAACUCUGCUAUCUGCCAAGAAGAAAUUUGGGCCUUCGAGUUUUCUUUCAUUCUAGAAUGAAAUCUCUAGAUGUUAUCUAGCUAGAAGUAUAUUAUCCAUCCCCUUGGAAUUCGGGAUAACAGAUUUCGGGAAGGUGUCUGGUGCCAAUUUUGUUAUUAAAAUGUUGAUUAUAACCAUCUGAAUCAUCCACACCAGUUAUAAAUCCUAAAUAUUAGAUAUUCUUUUUCUUUGAGAUUUUAUUUCCACCUGCUUGCAGUGCACCAAUUUUCCUGAGCCCUUCUGUAAAAUGAAGAAAUUAUUCCACUCAUGCUUCAACGCUGACUUCAAAAUACCCAGGAACUGUCACGCUGCCCAAUUGUUUUGGUAAAGUGUGAAUUGCACUUUUGCAAUGUGUGAUAGUUGAAAAAUUUCCCAAUUGGAUGAGAUUUUCCCCAUCUUAUGUAGCCUUUGGUCCAAUAAAAUAUAUUGUUCCUCCUGGUGGUCUGCAGUGAGAUUUUCAGGGAACUCAGCCUCAUAGAAGGAGUAGGCUUCCACAAAGCUGCAAUUAGACCUUGCUCAGCAUUUUUUGAAAUGAUUGUUUCAGUAUAUUCCAAAGCCAGGUUUUACUCAGUAGGAAUGGAUAUUCAUGCCUCAUAAAAAGCUGAACAAAUACAGUUGUUUUUUGUUUGUUUGUUUUGGUUUGGAUAUUUUUUAUUUUUAUUUAUUUAUUUUUUUUUUUGCACAGAGGAUCAUUCAAAUGAUUGUAGUUCAUUUUGUGGAAUAGGUGUUAUGCUCAUUAACUUGUUUCUUAACAUCUGCACUGCAGCUUUGGCAGAUCACAGGAGACAGUUUGUUGGAGCGUGCUUUCAGAGGCACAUGAUGCCAAACCUUAUGUACUUAUUUCCACCUGAAAAAUCAGUUUCCAAAGUCCUUGAAAAAUCACUAGCCCCAUACAUCUGCAUAGAGGC